GACGAACGCUGGCGGCGUGCUUAACACAUGCAAGUCGAACGAAGUGGCGAACGGGUGAGUAACGCGUAAUCAACCUGCCCUUCAGAGGGGGACAACAGUUGGAAACGACUGCUAAUACCGCAUACUGAAGGAGGGGAUUGCGUCUGAUUAGCUCGUUGGAGGGGUAACGGCCCACCAAGGCGAUGAUCAGGAGCCGGUCUGAGAGGAGUGACGGCCACAGUGGGACUGAGGAACGGCCCAGGCUCCUACGGGAUGCAGCAGGGGGGAAUCUUCCGGAAUGGAGGAAAGUCUGACGGAGCAACGCCGCGUGAGUGAUGACGGCCUUCGGGUUGUAAAGCUCUGUUUAUCGGGACGCGGUACCGGAAUAGAAAGCCACGGCUAACUACGUGCCAGCAGCCGCGGUAAUAC
rnacentral:rRNA from 1 species